AUUGAACGCUGGCGGCAUGCCUUACACAUGCAAGUCGAACGGCAGCACGGGAGCAAUCCUGGUGGCGAGUGGCGAACGGGUGAGUAAAGUAUCGGAACGUGCCCAGUCGUGGGGGAUAACGUAGCGAAAGUUACGCUAAUACCGCAUAGGAUCUAUGGAUGAAAGCGGGGGAUCGCAAGACCUCGCGCGAUUGGAGCGGCAGAUAUCAGAUUAGGUAGGUGGUGGGGUAAAGGCUCACCAAGCCGACGAUCUGUAGCUGGUCUGAGAGGACGACCAGCCACACUGGAACUGAGACACGGUCCAGACUCCUACGGGAGGCAGCAGUGGGGAAUUUUGGACAAUGGGCGAAAGCCUGAUCCAGCCAUUCCGCGUGCAGGAUGAAGGCCCUCGGGUUGUAAACUGCUUUUGUACAGAACGAAAAGGUUUCUACUAAUACUAGGAGCUCAUGACGGUACUGUAAGAAUAAGCACCGGCUAACUACGUGCCAGCAGCCGCGGUAA
rnacentral:rRNA from 1 species